GAAACGACUGCUAAGACUGGAUAGGAGACAAGAAGGCAUCUUCUUGUUUUUAAAAGACCUAGCAAUAGGUAUGCUUAGGGAAGAGCUUGCGUCACAUUAGUUAGUUGGUGGGGUAAUGGCCUACCAAGACGAUGAUGUGUAGCCGGGCUGAGAGGUCGAACGGCCACAUUGGGACUGAGACACGGCCCAAACUCCUACGGGAGGCAGCAGUAAGGAAUUUUCGGCAAUGGAGGAAACUCUGACCGAGCAAUGCCGCGUGAACGAUGAAGUAUUUCGGUACGUAAAGUUCUUUUAUUAGGGAAGAAAAGAUGGUGGAAAAACCAUUAUGACGGUACCUAAUGAAUAAGCCCCGGCUAACUAUGUGCCAGCAGCCGCGGUAAUACAUAGGGGGCAAGCGUUAUCCGGAAUUAUUGGGCGUAAAGGGUGCGUAGGCGGUUAAAUAAGUUUAUGGUCUAAGUGCAACGCUCAACGUUGUGAUGCUAUAAAAACUGUUUAGCUAGAGUUGGAUAGAGGCAAGUGGAAUUCCGUGUGUAGUGGUAAAAUGCGUAAAUAUACGGAGGAACACCAGAAGCGAAGGCGGCUUGCUGGGUCUUAACUGACGCUGAGGCACGAAAGCGUGGGGAGCAAACAGGAUUAGAUACCCUGGUAGUCCACGCCCUAAACGAUGAGUACUAAACGUUGGAUAAAACCAGUGUUGAAGUUAACACAUUAAGUACUCCGCCUGAGUAGUACGUACGCAAGUAUGAAACUUAAAGGAAUUGACGGGACUCCGCACAAGCGGUGGAUCAUGUUGUUUAAUUCGAAGGUACCCGAAAAACCUCACCAGGUCUUGACAUGCUUUUGCAAAGCUGUAGAAAUACAGUGGAGGUUAUCAGAAGCACAGGUGGUGCAUGGUUGUCGUCAGCUCGUGUCGUGAGAUGUUGGGUUAAGUCCCGCAACGAGCGCAACCCUUGUUGUUAAUUGCCAUCAUUAAGUUGGGGACUUUAGCAAGACUGCCAAUGAUAAAUUGGAGGAAGGUGGGGACGACGUCAAAUCAUCAUGCCCCUUAUGACCUGGGCUACAAACGUGAUACAAUGGCUGUUACAAAGGGUAGCUAAAGCGUAAGCUUCUGGCGAAUCUCAAAAAAGCAGUCUCAGUUCGGAUUGAAGUCUGCAACUCGACUUCAUGAAGUUGGAAUCGCUAGUAAUACAGCGAAUCAGCAUGUCGCGGUGAAUACGUUCUCGGGGUUUGUACACACCGCCCGUCA
rnacentral:rRNA from 1 species